rnacentral:ncRNA from 1 species
CGCCUCUUGGCGAAAAUUAAGUCGCAGCAGGGUGGGGUUAGUAAAGAAUUGAAAGCCCUCAAGACAAUAAGAAA